GCUGACACAUCCCGGCCAAUCUCUAGCAGACCCUCCCUCCCAGACCCUCCCACCUCCUGGACAGCAUCCAUGUUGAAGCUGCCUUCAACAUGGAUGCUGUCCAGGAAGUAGGAGGGUCUGGGAGGGAGGGUCUGCUGGAGAUUGGCCAGGAUGUGUUAG